rnacentral:lncRNA from 1 species
AGUUUGAAAUUUAAAAUUUAAAAUUUGAAAUUUAAAAUUUUAAAUUUUAAAUUUCAAAAUUUAAAAUUUAAAAUUUAAAAUUUAAAAUUUUAAUUGUAUGUUGAAAUUUAAAAUCUAUGUUGAAAUUUAAAAUUUUAUGUUGAAAUUUAUAAGUUAGAACUUGAUGCAAUUUUUCGAAUACGGGAGCUCAAAAAUAAUGGAAUUUUUCUUCCUUUGGUUAGAGUGGAUUAUACUUUUACCCCAUUUUUUGGAGUAUAGUUUAACUAUACUUCAAAAAUUACGUUACUUUUUUUUUUUCUUCCAAAUGCUUCAUAGGAUAUUUUUCCUACCGUCUUAAACUAUGCUACGUUUUCAGAAUUCUUCGGUGGUACCGCAAAAAAUAUAUCGUAACUGACUCAUCGCAAUAUGUGGAACGCAAUAUUACGUAUGAAAAUAAAUAAUAUAUUUUUUUAACGUACUUUCUCACUGUACGUAACGCAAUCUUUCCGUAAUUCUAAACGAAACGAAGCCUAAAACUCGUACCUAACUAAGUAUGCAUAGAACCAAGAAUCGUCUAGAUGGGAGGAGUCCGUAUGUAGAAGACAUAUCAAAUCAAACUUGACCACCGACCUCCUUCUGGAUCAAUCGGUCUAAAAAUAGCCUUAAUAUUCUAGUUCGUACAUAUGACCAAGAGAUCAUCAAAAACGCAUUCAAUGCGCGGAUAAAAGGAAUUAAUGCAUGAGAACUCAACCGAGAACAACUUAGAAGCUUAGAACCGAGCGGAUUAAGAGUAUAUUCUGAUACCAUAUUAUUAAAAUAUCGAUAGGAUAGAUAACUGUUAUAUAUAAAAAUACAAAAAGAUAUAAAUAUUAUUUUCUUAUAAGUUUAAGGUUGCAGAGAAUAAUAUUUUUUAUAUAUAAUUUAGCACGUUACAAAAACAGAAGGUUCUAGAUUCGAGUCAUGUCCGAUUCCUAGCAUAAUUGAUUCUCUCCUACUUAAUUAAAGCCCAUAUCAUAGGUAGGAAUGUCAAUGGAUACGAAUACCAGAAAUUUUAUUCGAAUUCGAAUCCGAACGGCGCGGAUUUUUCAAAUACUGAAUAAAUAUGGAUAUCAAAAAUAAAAAUCCAACGGAUGUGGAUUCGAAUAUGAUUUUGACUUUACCGGAUCCGAACCUAAACCUGACCCGAACCUAAAUUUAUUUUACAUUAUAUAUAAUAUGAAUAUAAAAAUUUGACGUUAUAUUUGAAUUUAUAUUUUAAAAAAUUAGAUUUAAUGUAAUAUAUUUUGAAAUAUUGAAAAGAGGAAUAAUUAUUUUGGGUUCGGAUUCGGGUUUGGGUUUCGGAUUUUUGGUCGAAUUCGGGUUUUGAUAUAAAUUUUUAAAAUCGGUCGGGUUCGGAUUUUUAAAAAUUCGUCUCGAAUCUGACCCGUCGACAUCUCUAGUCAUAAAUCUAUCUACAAAUUUCGAGCCCAGAUAUAAAAAACAAAAAUUAUAAAUAUAAAAAUAUAAAAAAUAUUAUUCUUUAUAAACUUAAAUUUUUUAAAAAACAACAUAAAUAAUAGCAAAAUAUAUGAGCCCCUCCUUUCAACGAAGGUACAAAAACCGAAGACACGCUCCAACGUGUUCCAUGCACAAGGACAGGAGCAUGGGCCACGAGAUGCUCCAUUAAUAACCCUCAAAUUAUCCUUAACUUUAAAAAUGUUAAUUAAUUUGUACAUUUUUUUGUUGGCAUCUCUUUGGUGUUCUCUAUACAUUUAUUUAUGUUUAUAUGACAGCUAAAUGAAGUGGUUGUGGACUUUGUACAGUGUCAAUUGUCCUUUUUGUAUGGGCCAAGCACUGCUGUUUGUUUGACUUUUCCAUCUUAAUAUAAUUUUGAUCCCAUAGUUUUUAUUUUAUUUAUAUUUUAUUUCAUCUUUGGCUUUGUAUAGCUUGGCUGUUCUAGUUCAGUUAGGAGUGGCAAUCCAGCUCGCUGUUUGUGAGCCCGCUCGUGUUCGGCUCGAAAUAUGCUCAAGAUCGGCUCGCUCGUUUAAUAGACGAGCCGAACAUGAGCUGGGGUCAGCUCGCUCGUGUUCGGCUCGAUAACAGCUCGAAUACAUAUAUUUUAUAUUUGUAUAAUUUAUUUAAUUUAUAUUUUUGUAUAUAAAUAAAUAAUUAUAUAUAAUAUAUAUUUUUAUUAUUUAAAUUUUAGCAAAAUAAAAAUAUAAAUGCGAGCUUAAUUAUAAAAAGACUCAUUUAUAUGUAAAGUUUCAACUAUUAGAUCAAAGUCUAAUGGAUAAGAUUUUAUAAAUUUAUUUUUUAUAUAUAUUUAUUCUAAAUAUUUUUUAAUUUAUUGUUCGUUGGCCAGCUCGUGAGCCAGCUCUGUGUUCGGCUCGUUAAUAAACGAGCCGAACACGAGCUGAAUUUUUCGGCUCGAAUCUUUAACGAGCCAGCUCGUGUUCGGCUCGUUUAAUAAACGAGCCGAACAUGAGCCGACCCAGCUCGCUCGUGUUUGGCUCGUUUACACCCCUAAGUUCAGUAGAAGUUGAUCCAUGGAUGUGGCUUUUAUUGUGUUUUAAAGAAGCUUAAUUAAUUAGAGCUUGGGAUUGUUAUGUGCGCAGUAAUCACUAUAGACAGUAUUUUUUUUUUUUUUUUUUUUGAGAGAAAGAUAGCACGCUAUCCGCUUCGUUUAUUUUAUUUAAAAAUAAACUUAGCUGGAAAUGUGAAUCAACUAGGAUUCGAACUUAGGUCUCGGAUACCAACCACCGAGCCCUUUGCCACUUGCUCUAGAGACAGAUAUUAAUUUGAGAUGCUUUACUAGACUCAAUUUGAUAUGUUUUAAUACUUUACGCUAAAAUAUUUUCUAGAGGCAUAAGCCAUUGGAAAGUGAUAUUUAAAUUAAGUAACUAAGAUUUUAAGAGAAGUGAUAUUUUAGUACGACAACUUAAGCUAUCAAAAAUGAUGUUUUGAUUUUUUUUUUUUUUUCAUUCCCCAAAUUUUUUGAGGGAAAGUGUUUUAGAAUUUACAAGGACAACUUUAUUUUCAAUACAAAAAUAAACUAAAAUAAAGAAUAUCCCAUUCAAUUUACAAAGACAAUUUUAUUUUUAAUACAAAAAGAAAAAAAAAUUAAAAAAAAUUAUAUUCCGUUGCCGGGAUUUGAACCCGGGUCGUCUGGGUGAAAGCCAGAUAUCCUAACCGGACUAGACGACAACGGAUUUUGCAAAUAUAUGUAAAAUAAAUAAAUUUGUACUUAUUACGUUUUUGACAUAAUUGAUAUGUAUAAAUAGUAUCAUAGUUGUUCGUCAAUUAUUUAUUUUCAAUCGCGUUGUGAUCACUAUUUAUACUACCAAUUACUUUGCAUUUAAGGAGCGAUAGGCGAUUCCAAUUAAUCUUCAAUAUACUGUUUUAUUCAUGCACUCUUCACAAGCGUUAAAUUAGAGCUUCUAAUUGUCAUUUGCACGAACCGGUUGAGAAGAUUUAAAUCCUAAUAACUUAAAACAGUGAUUUAUCAAGCCCUUGAAAUUUUCUUUUAAGGCUCUCUUUAAGAUUGUGAGAUUGUGAGGAGAUUAUGGGCCCGUUUGGCCUAGCUUCUGGAAAAGUGAUUUCUGCAGAAUUAAUUUUAGUUUGGAAAAGUGAUUUCUGUUAAAAGCUGUAGAGCGUUUGACUGAGUCUGACCAUAAAAAUACACUACAUAUAUUAUGAUAAAUUGAUUAUAAUAUAUUUUUUUGUGAACCCAUCGAAAAAUAAAAAAGCACAGAUCUAUAAUGCUUUUGCCCUUAAUUCCGCUUUAUCUAUUAGCUUCAAUAACCACUAGCCAAUCGGAUUUGAAAGAUUUACGAAAAAUUGAGAUUGGUUUGGAAAAUCUAAUCGUGACAAACUUUCCUGAAAAAAGGGGGAAAAAAAAAGAUGUUCCCACACUGCUGUUGUUUAGGCACAAUAAACUGCAAAUUUCUAUAUGAAAUUAGUGUAAAAUUUUGGAUAACAAAUUUGUUUUCAAGAAAUGAGUUGAAAACAUAGACACCUCAAACAGUUGUUUUUUUACAUACACAAUGUAAUGUGACAACUAUUUUUAUGUUUGGUUAAUUCUUAAUCUCCGCAUUAAUUUGUUAUUACAAAUCAGAACAAAAUGCGAAACCUUGAUUAAGUAUUUGGUUAAACAUAGCUAAUAUAACACUCAUACAUUUCCCCGGCUAAAGGUUGCGGAGCCAGUAAAUGCUACAGCUUUUAGAAACCAUUAAUUAGGGAAUAGAUUACCUAUGUAUUUAACUUAAAAGUACUAAUUUGGCAUAUAUACAAAUGCUCGGUAGUUUUAUGUAACUAAUCAGUGCUGAUGGAUUGCUCCCAUGAAAAGGCGCUCCCGCCAGAUGCGGCAGAUCCCGUCUGCGGAUUGCUAACGCCUCGUGAUUUCCGAAUCUGCCGGAGCCUGAAGACAUCUUGUGGGAGCGGCCGACUCUGCACUGUUGUAGUAUCAUCUUCCUCUUGCCCUGCAGAUACGAUAAUCUCAAAAUUACAAGACGCGGUAUAAUCCAACUGCAAUCGGAUUAUAACCAAAUAUAAACAUUAACACAAUCACACUUCAAUGAACUAAAUGAAUUCUUGAUACUGUAAUGGUCGAAUAAUAGCCACCUAUUCACUUAUCAGUAUCCUUCGACGAGUUUUGCAAUCUUAAUCAACUAAUGACUUACAUGAUACCCAUAUGAGAGAGAGAGAGAGAGAGAGAGAGAGUACUUUCAAGAUCUUUUCUUUUGCCAAGUUGUCCAUCUCUCCGAAGUCGAUUAGCCGAUCCAUUCUGAUUCAACCGUGACCAGCUGGAGCCAGAAAUGUCGCUAGUGCUAGGGACGGGACCCGUCAAUACUUGCUGGGAGGAAGAAGCAGGUUUACCAAUGUUUCCAACCGGUAUGGAGCUCUGCAGCAAAAUAGAUAAUACUACAUCCAGAUCCGGUGAUGGCCCUGUCAUUUUAAUAUAAUAUUAGAAACAAAUUGGCUUCGGUAUUUCAAUAAUCUCUCACCCAAAUAUAAGAGAAAGAAAUGAGGAAAACAGAACCAAAUGAAUAUACAAAAACCUCAUUUAUCGCUGAACUGCUGAAAAUUUUUGGUUCUAUUAUAGUGGGCAUUUGCACAAUGAUCUCUUUGGUUACUAAGAAAUUUUACAAAGUUGUGAUGAUGAUUUCUUCGAAGCCCACCACCUAGGCUUACAUCAGCUCUAAAAAAAACAGAAAAAUUAUGAAUCAUGGGUACCUUUAACAGAAGGCAACUGGGUGAUGAAGGCAACCAAUGGAGGAGAGAGCACUUUCAAAAUCUCAUCAAUUCCCUGUGUAGUUCCAGUGCCAGCGCCAAGAAGAGCUAAAGUGGAGGUAGAACUAUUUACGCUAGAGGGCGCUGAAAACUCGGGACCUGAUAAAAGAGAUUCAAAAAUCAAAAUCAUACAUAUUAUUUCUGAGAAAUGACAAGUCCUCUGUAUUCCAAGAAAAUUGCAUAUAAAUGAUGGCAGCGAGAAGCAAUAAAAAUCUACAAGAGGAUAAGAAUGCAUGAUGACGGAAGUGGAUAUCUAUUGCAACUAGCUGAUCUACCAGAGAUACAUACCUUCUUUGCCAAGUAUUAUCCAAACAAUAAUAACUCAGAGAAGAAAUAUUUCAAGAUACAACUAUGGCUGAUAUAAUCAGGAAGAGAGAUCUGAAAUCCAGUAAGUCCAUUCAACUAAAGAGGAAGUAAAUAUAUAAUAGCUUGAGAAAUUCUGUAUUAGCCAAAAAUAAAUAAAAUAUUGGCCUACUUAGUUCAUCAACAAGGAAUACUCAAGUACAAAACAAUAUAAUUAAUUAAUUAGUGUGGCAAGGAAAAACAGAAGCAUGAAAAUAUUAAUCAUAUUGUUGACUCAUCUGAAGCUCAAAAUUAAGCGCCAGGCAUGAAAUGAUGAUAUCCACUUAACGCACAAGGCUAAAUGCAGUGAAUUGUGAUAAGCAUUAGAAUGAGGUACAUGUAUACUCAUUAGAACGAGAAACAACCUAUAUGCAGGCCCAUAACAAAAGCAUCAGCAUCUACGCAAUUUUAAAUCCAAAAGGCAGCCAAAAGCAGAGAAAGAAAUUGGCCUCAGAAUCACCAAUUCCUGCAUCACAUAUAUUAAUUGAACACAAAAAAAGAUUCAAAUUAUAAAACAUUCCACCUUUUGUCUGUCUAGGAUCAUAUACGACCAUUCGAGAAGUAUCUGGAAGAACAACUUUUGUAGAUGGUGGUGAGACCUUAUUAUUUGUUGCAAGUCCAACAGGGGCCUUCUCUGAACCUAAAGAAAACUCAUUAACAUCAUUUUAUCCAUAUCAAAUCACGGCAUAUUGAAAGAAGAAAUUACGUGUACCUAAGGCACUGCUUCCAUUUUGCAAAGUUGGUUUGUCAACUUUAUUCAUGUUCUUUGCAAGCCACUGUAAUGCCAACAUGAAAACACUCCUAUUUAGGGGCAAUACAACAAAAUAUAUAUAUAAGCUGAACGAUUUCCUAUGUUCCAUAGCCUACAGAAUCUCAUAGUUCAGAAGGCUGCGCAUAUAUGUAAUAGUUUCCUAAAGUUCUGGGUGGUUCAUGUAAGUUUGGUUCUAUUCCCAUAUCCAGUUUUCUGAAUUUUUUAGUUCAGUUCCUCCAAGAAAUCUAUUGAAUCUACCAAAUAAAUACACCAACUUAUGAAGGUUCCUCAUACAACUAUAACAACCACCAAAAUCCUUAUAACAAUAGAAGCUCUUAUGACUGUUGUAAGGAGAAAUAAAAUGGAUGGAUUGAGAACAAAGCAUAACAUCAUAUUUCUAGAAACAACCUAAUGCUACACAAAAGCUCAAUAAUGAGCAAACUAUUGAAGAUACAACUAUUUCAUUAGCAGAAAACUAUGCAAAUUCAAUUGAAACUGACAAAAUAUACAAUAUUUGGAGGCCAUGCAUACCUCUUGCUGAGCCAAAUGAUCCAAAUCUUUCGAAGAGCAUGGCCAAAGAUCCAUAAAACUAUAGCGGGAAACAACAUCAUAUAAAGUGUUUUCCAAUGCCGAUGAACCAUCCUCUGCUGUCCUAGAUAAAGCUUCCUUUCUCCUUUGUUCAACCUGUGAUAUAAAGAAUAACAUAUGAUACAUUUAAUCACCGAGAAAAAACUACAGAAAAAAUAAUACCAUAUAUUUUGUUGAAAAGAAUGAGAGUGACAAGAUCCUCAGAGUAUGAAUACUGUCUACCUGCUAAAAUAUGGAUGCAGGUGUAGGUGGUUAAAGUUGAUAGCGUAAUCAUGGAAAAAAUAGAACAGAACAUGUUAAGACAUUGUAACACAACAGAAAGUGGAACAAUGAGCAAUGCUUCCUAGGAGAUGCAUGAAAGUUACUUUCAUUGUCAGGUUAAGAAAAUCCUUAAUAUAUAGUAAGUCUUUCAAUAUUCUACGCAAGGUAACUGAUAUGGUUUCUAUCUCUUAGUACAGAAGAUAAGUACUUUUGUCAAAGCAAAAAAGAGUAUAUCAAGUCAUUCAAUUUCUCGUUUUUUGAUGAAUAACACAUACAAACACAGUGACAGGUGACUGCACAUUUUUCCAAUUUCAGAUAAGAAAAUAGUUGUUUUUUUUCCUUUCAGAAGCUUUGUAGCUGACUCAAUUUGAGCAUGGUUUAGAUAUAUGUCAAGAAGUACACCAAAAAUAUUUGAAAAACAAGCUACUUAGAAAUAGUAAGUAUUAAAAGUAAGGAGGUUGACAGAUGAAUAUUCGAGCUAAAUAAAGUUUUUGUCGAGUCUAAUAGUAAAAUAAAUUAGAUAAUAUUAAAACAACCACCUUAAACUCAGGUCCAUACAGAAAAGUAGGUAGAAGGGUAAAAGAAUGCGUUUCUUUAUUCACAAAAUGAUUCAAAAAACAUCAGCUUAAAUAAUUUCCACAAUUGAACUCUCUUUAAUUUCGAUUUGUCAUCACAACAAUAAAUAUGCUGAAACAAUGAAACAAGCUCAUACCUUCAACAUGCUUGACAAAUCACCAUAUGUCUGUUCAAACUGAGUAAAGCGUUUCCACACCUACAAGUGAAGAUCUACAUGAGAUAUCAAUGAAAUAAGCACAUGUGUGCCUGUUCUGUGUAAACGAAACAAUAAGGUCUAAGUGAUAGUUGACACCUGACAACAAUCAAUGCAUAUGUCUAGCAGAAUUCAUUCACAAACUAAAGAAUAUAUAGGCAAUAGGCAGCUUGAUUUAAAUAGCUUAAAGUACCAAUAAUAUAAAAAGAAGUUGCAUGUUCGAUUUAAAUUCCAUUUAACUGUGCCGUUUCUUCAGGGUGUAACUAAAGAACCACACAAGUUUCAUUCAACUGUUUACACCUAUACAUUUGCUGACAAAUGUAAACUAGGCAUUAAGUAAAUUCCAAGAAAUUGACUUGCCACAUCAAAUAAGAAUUAUCUUUCAAAUAGGCAGAUUUCUUUUCUUUAUGUAUCAUUAUAAGAGUCUAUUUUGUCCUCAAAAUUGUACCUAGGAAUGACAAAUUGAAAACAAAAAAAGAUAAAAUGUAGAUGCAGUGAAACACUGAACUUUGCAGGGACUGCCAAUAAGCUUUUCUUCCAAGAAGUAUAAUAAAGGGUCAUAAGGAGGGCAGCUGCAUGAUGACUUCACAAUGAGACCCCUGCUGGAGAUACUUUGGCAAUACUAGUAUGCUGAUUAUGUGGCUCAGGAGAGGACUAGCCCUAUUUAGUAAAGAAGGAUUUCUAAGUAAAUUAAAAGGAAAAUGUUAAUCUAAUCAUACCUCGACAGACUCUUCUGGGGGCAGUAUGCUGAGAGCCCGCUCAAACAGAGCACGGACAUUUCUAUCAUCAUUUAAACGGCACAAGAAAUCUGCAUAUCUGAGACCCAAAAAAAUCAUUACUUCAAAAUCUAGAUUUUACAAGUUUUAAUUUAACAAACCAUGCAAAGUCAUGAAUUUUUUAAGAAGGGAAUAAAAGCCUAUACACACCACCUAUCUACAAAUAACUGAACACAUAAGUUUGUUUCCUAGUUCACUACGCUUGGAAGUACCCACUACUGCUGCAUCAACUGUUAAGGGAGAGAAAAGCACAUACUCAAGGAUGUAUCCAGGCUCAUGCAUAAAUUUAUUUAGGCCAGCCUCAAAAACACUGUGAGCCAUCUGCAAUAUAAAAAAAUUUAUUAGUACCUCUAUAGAGUUUUUAGGGGUGGGGAAUGAGCAGAAAUAGUCCGAUUAAGUAAUCAAAUGAAAAAUUUGCAUUUGAUACUUGCCAUGUACACAAUAUUAUAACUUCUCUGACAGCACAAUGAGAAACAAAAGUGAACAUAGGUGGCAUACAAAAAAAGUGCAAUAUUAUGAAAAUUAUAAAAUAUCACUACAAAGCAAUUUUUACAAUAUCAAGAAACCAGAGAAACAAGAUUUGGCCUUUUGUGGCUUUCCGAGAUAUGAGCUUCUUGUAGCCAUGAAAUAAAGGCAGACGUGUUUGCUGAAUAACUCAAACUUCCAUUUUUGAGGACAGAAACUAACAUGAAAUUAAAACAGCGACCAAGCAUUACAUUACUACUAGCUAAUAGCUCACAAACACCUUCAAUCAGUUAAUUCUAGAAUCAGCAGGUACCUGACUACAAUGUCCACAGAUUGAAGGUGAGGUGUUAAAGACCCUACCUGCACAUAAAUAAGACGGACCUAUAAGGUCUUCGUCCACUCAAAAUAAAAACAAGUUUCUACAUUUUCUUGAACCCUAUGGGUAUACUAGAACUUUCCUAUGUUUAGCCAAAAGAGCCAAAAAUUUUCUUAUACUUCUCAACUUCAUAGGGAGGCUUCCAAUGCUCAUUCAGCUUAAGGAGCUUGGGCAUACAUAGCCAAUGCAUCCAUAUCAGACAUAAAAGUUUCAUCAUAAAGGAAAAGAAUAUUUAAAGAAAUGGCAUACUAAAAUCAUAUAUAUGUACAUCGUUGUCAACUAAUUUCACUACAUGAAUAAAUCAUGAAACUUAUAUUGGAUUCACAAGGCAAACUUGGCCAAGGGACAACAAUGGACAAAUAUAAUCAGAACAUAAAAGAUGUUUCGAUCUUUAACAACCUUUGCAUCCUUGUCGAGGCAAAAGGCCAUUGUGGCAUAAGCAACAAACACAUGAUAUGUGCAGCUUGGAGACUUCCGCGCAUCCAGGAAAUAUUUUUUAGCAGCUUCAAUGCCUUCAGUUCUCCUUAAGAACCGAAUGAACUGUAAUAUGAAAAGAUGUUACAAACAUAAAACAAAUAAUAAGAUACUCAUAUGUUAAGAUGAAGCAAGGAGACUCGCCUGAAUGUGAGUGAGCGAUGUUACAUUGACACUAUUGGCCAGAAGAGACUCAUAUAUUUUUUUCGCAGACUGCAUGAAAAUUUUCUUUAGCACGAAAUCCGCUUUUGGCAUAGGAUUUGAAUGCAAAAGAUGUUUAUGCUAAACCUGAAUUGCUCCUCGGGACUCUUCCAGUUCCGCAUAGGCAUACCUCAAUAAUUCAGAAUCUACAAAGAUUUGCACAAAUAUUUACAUUCUCAAAAAGGAAAGAGUCACAAAUUAACAAAUUCAAUACACAGGUUUUACUUGCAAAAUGAAAAAAAAUGUUAAUGAGUACACCAAGGUCAUUCCGAAAUUAAAUAUAAAAUGAAAUUCUUUCAACAUUCAAUUCCUUUUACUGCCAAACGAAAACCCCUUGUAUUAAAUUAUACCAGGUAUUCACAGAUUACGCAGAGUGCAGUCAGGUCAUCCCUUUAGGAUGUAAGAAUUUUCCACAAAGUUUAUCUUAGACAUGAAAUUGAGUCUAAUAAGAAAAUGUAAAAGAAUUGUUGGAUUUGGUCUCCUUAAGUUGAGAAUAUGCUAGCCGACACUGUUGUAGGAGUAUUUAAUACAAAAAUUAGUAAAAUACAACAUAUAUUACAAAUUGCAAUAAUCUGUUUAACAGAUUUGCUCUAAGUUGUAAUAAUCUGUUUUUACAAUUCUCCACUGAUGCAGGACAGUAUGUAUACGGCAAUUGGACAGAUUCCUAAAAUAUUUACUAAUCAUGGUUUAUGGUUUGUGGGAUAAAUAAGGUGUAAAAAGAAAUGGGAAAAGCUAAACAGGAGUGUAUUGGAGUAUAAACUGCUCUACAGAAGUUCCCAGUGGAAGAUUAAGGUAUUAUUUCAAAUACUACUAUUAGUCCAAUAAAAAGAAAUUUCUAACUCAAUUCAUUUGAAUGCCAGAGAUAUUUAGCUAAAGCUUGAGUGAGUGAUAGUAACAUAUCGAUGAAUGUUCCCAUAUUUGAUGAAAUUGUAGAAAAACUACUUGGUAUUCCAGCUUCCAAACUUAAGAAAUUUGAAAAUCUUAAAUCAUUUAAACAAAUGAAUAAUUGCGAAAUGAAUUUUCAGUUUUACGAAUAAUUACUUUUAUAGGGGAACAGCUAUCAAAUAGCAUUGAAAUUUCUGAAUCGAGUAGCAUGGCAAGAUUCAACAUUUUUCAUUGAGAUGUCUAAAGAAGACAUUGGAUCUUCAAUUAGACAAAUUUGUGUUCUGAACGUUGUACCAAUGUUAUCUUCACAAGUAGCAAAACACUAUCUUGAGGAAAUUGAAAAAAUGAAGGGUGUUGAGUAUAAAAGAUAAAAACACCAUUCUUUGACAACAUAAGCUUUCGGAGAACAAUAACUGUUUCAUAUUCUUCAACAUGGUAUCAGAGCAGGAGGUCUUAAGUUCAAAUCCCACUAGGAUCCUAGCUCCAUUUAGUUCGCUCUCAUUUAAUUUAAGCCCACAUCUUAGGCCUAUUAAAAAGUCGCAAGCCCAAAUGUGAGGGGGAAUAUUGAAUAAAGGAUAAAAACAUCGUUCUUUGACAGCUUACGCAUUUGAAGAACAACAGUUGUUUCACAUCCUUUAACAAAGGAAAAGGAGAAAGUUAAUUAGCAUUUCAUGUGAUUAUCACAAAAUAGGCCGUUGUUCAGCAAAGUUCUAUUUUGAAUUUGCUAACAUAAAUUUAUGAAUGUGCAACUUAUGCAAUUAUCCAACAAAUUUAUGUCAAUUUUGUUUAAGCAAUAUAUAUUUUAUACCGAAUGUUUACCGUAUGUAUAUGGUUGCUAGACGUGCAUCACAAUGACAUGUUGCUAGUAUAUAUUAAGUAACAUCUGAGUUUUUAAUAUUUAAAUUUAGAUUUCAAGAUGUCCAAAGUCAUACAUAAUAGGAUUAUUUUUUAUUGACGUGCUGGACGAGCACAAGAAAAUUUUUCCAUGUCAUCCACUUCCUACUUCUUGCCACAUCACCCAUAGGACAUGACUAGAUGGACCCCAUGCGGAUGACCUUCCAUCUACCCAUAACAUGGCAGACGCCCCCAACGCGCGUGACCUUCUAUCCACCUAUAACGUGACUAGUGUCCAAUAAAGAGCGUAUAAAUACUAUGGAUGACAUUAUGUACCCACUAGUGUGUUCUUGAACCCAUGUUGAUCUAAUGUGAUAUUACCCAAAAAAAAACUAGCGGCGCACAUUAGAAAAUUAUGAGUUACUCUAUUAUGCACAAAACUAAUAUGUGAUCUUUACAUGUUAAUAGGUCACAAAAAUGAAAAAUUAUUAUAACAACCAGACGCACUAGUACUAGCAACUUGUUGAACCCAUACCACCAACCAAAAUGCUAAAACUUAAUCAUAUUGCUGUGCUAGUCAAAUAUAUGGCCCUCUCAUGCUCCCAAAUUAUCCAACAUAAGAUUAUUGAGGUGUUACAAGCUCCUCCCGUUAUGCCCUAGCAUCCUAGUCAAGCCCAAUCACAAAAAUAGUCCAGAAUCACCAAGUGAAAUGAGAUUCUAAUAGUGGCAUCUAUAGGUUCAAGAGGUUGCUCACACCAAUUCUAUUGUGUAGUACUUUGUCCUGUAUAGCACUUAGCUCCAACACUUCAGGCUGAAAUUUGGUCUCUAAUACAUAUGUAAUGAUUCAGGUCACUAUCGCUAACAGCUUGUUAAGUCCAAACUACUAGUUCAAAAUGCCUAAGCCUAAUUAUUAGUACUAAUGUGCUAGUCAAAUAUACGAACCUCUCAUUCUCCCAACAAUUGGGUUAUUAGGAUUUUAUAAUUAUUGUGUAAAUUGGUUGUGUCAGUGAAUAACUCAAACCAAUUUGAAUAUGACAUGUUUCUAUUUAAAAAAGCUUGUGUUUUUUUUGGUAAAUUUCACCAUUAAUGUCUAAACACUUACUCAUAAAAAGCAAGUAUCAUUAUUUAUCAAACUAAACUUCUUGGGCUUUCAUGUAACAUAAUUACAUUGCUACUCUAUAACAUUAUGAGAACCAAACUAAAGCAGCCGUCAAACCAAAAUUUUAAGGUUCGUAGACAUAAAUAGUUUGCCCCUUCUCUUUCAAUGGAUUGGGAAGAAUUCGCAACCGUCAACUUAUUAACCUAGCAUCAAGAUGAAAUAAAACUGCCUUAGUUUUUGCAAUUUGACUUCAUAAAACCUGCAAGCGACAUAGUAAAGGUUGCCAAACUUGUAAAGGAUGUAUUUUAAAGGAAAAUCAUUAAAUUUUGCUAUUAUUUAGUGUCAACAUCAGUAAGUCUUCUGGCCCCUGCUGUUCUCAUCUCAAAGAUAAGAAUUAUUAGCUGUGACUAUUGUAGAAAUAAUUAUGGAUUUGUCAACAAGAAAAUCUCAACUGAUACAGUGCAAGUGAAGCUUAAAGUAAAAUCAUCUACCAGGAAGUGCCUUUAAAGCUCGCUGAAAUACUUUAACAGCAGAAUCCACAGAACCAGUCUUUGCAUGCCAGGUAGCAUAGUCAUACCAUAUAUCAGGGUAAUGAUAGAGAUACAUCAGGCACUGAAAAUGAACAAAGAAAAACAAAAUGGAAUUCUUAGAGGCAAUCUGUUAGUCAAAUUUAUAGAAGAGAAAUAGUCAUAAGUUAAGAGCAGACGAGUUUUAGGUUGUCUUUAAUAAACUCGAAAGAUCAGACUAACUGAUUUAGAUCGUAUACUAUAAUAGUAUUAUGAGCAGCACUCAUAGGGUCAUCCAAUGCCAAGUGUGAGCAGUCUAGGAUGACGCAUGCCACCGUGCAAUCUUAGAAAAAAUGUAUUGUCAUCUAUUUGAAAGAAUUGAGGACAAGAAUGUUAUAAAAACCUCUAAUUACUGACAUUUGACAUUGCAUCCCUCGCUUGAAGAUUGGAUGUACAAUAGAAGGUAAGAUUCUGCCAUAGACAAUCAGGCAGGUGGCACCAAGGAUGCCCAGCUAGAAAAAGACUAGGAAUACCACCUAGGCACCUAACCAGCAGUUUUUAUAACACUUCUCACUUUAUUUUUGAAAUCUUUGGAUUUCAACUUUCUGUAUUUCUUCUCCCUACUUACCUACCAUUCAACCCUGUUUGGAACACUAAAAAGACAGUAUCAGCAGCAAAUAGCAUAAACCACGGAACUCACUUUCAGACAUAUUUAGUAUUCCAGAACUUUAAAAGAACGAUAGGCUAACCCAUAGCUGAAUCCAUUUAUAAACUACAAAUCUGUACAAUAUUAAAUAUAAAAACAUCAUGGUGCAUACCUGCUCAUAGGUAAAGGUGACCCUCCUAUUAGCAGAUGUUGCAUCGAUCCUUUGUGGGUUCCCUCUGAAGAGAAAUCAUAUGAAGUAUAAGGUGGAAAACUUUAUUAUCAAAUUCAAAUGCAGAACUAAUGAAAGGAUCAGUCUGCUUUCAGUCUUCAGUAGUAGCAUAUCCUUUAAUAAGCAGCAAACGUAUAAGAAUCAGAUGUUGCAUCGAUCCUUUGUGGGUUCCCUCUGAAGAGAAAUAGUAUGAAGUAUGAGGUGGAAAACUUUUUUAUCAAAUUCAAAUGCAGAACUAAUGAAAGGAUCAGUCUGCUUUCAGUCUUCAGUAGUAGCAUAUCCUUUAAUAAGCCCCAAACAUAUAAGAAUCAAAUUAAAUAGUCUAAAAUGUCAGGGCCAAGCCUGUCUAAAGUGAGACUUUCAAGAAAGGAACAUCAAACCAACUUGACUCCACUUGUAGAGCUGGCCCAAUAUGAUACAUUUGAUAUUUUCACAUAGAGAAAAAAAUGAAGAUGAUAUUUCUAGAAAAAACUUCAGUUUCUAGAGUUCUAAUGUGUGUAAUUUCAAAGGAAGAUGGCUACCAAAUUUCACUUACUUUUCAAAGGCUAUAAGUCUUUUCCAUGCCAUGCAUUGCUGCUCUUCCUGCCCAACGCACUAAAGAGUUACCUUCUCUGAUUAAAUUGACACUACUCUACAAUUCUUUCAUAUAGAAGUAGCACAAGAUAGCCUAACAUUACAAGCCACUGGGGAAGACUAAGAUUAUAGGAUUACAAUCCAUGAAAAAAAAGGUGAGCAUAAUCAAUUAAAUCAAGCAGAACACUUUUAACUCUAGUGGUACACAGAAUUAUACAGAAACAUUAUUACUUGGAAAACGAAACAAGAGUAUAAUAGAAUGUCUGGAUAGAUAAGGUGGUUUUGUGAAUAUAAAUAAAGAAAAAAAAAUGAAGGAUAUGCUUUUCUUCUCCUAGUUUUGCAAAUUGGGCCUGUUUUUGCCACUUUGGGCUAAAUUUUUGCUUGUUGGAUAAAAAUGACUCUUCUCCCAACUAGGCCAUGAAAGAAGUGGAAGGUGGAGGGGGUUGAGGGGUGGAGACCCUGCAAAGAGCUGGGUGCACGAGGAAACAAGGCCACAGCAGUAAUAUGUAUGGUGAGAAUGGAGCAGACUAGUUUUGCAUAUCUUCAUAGAUAAGAAUGUAAGAGAGAUAUCCUAAUUUGACAGAAGUUGAAAUAGAAUAAUUGGAAAAAAAAGGAAAGAGAAAGGCAAGGCCCUGUAAUUUCAGAAUAUGGCGUAUUUGCUGAUUUAUAAAUAAUGAAAUAAUUAUCUGCAAUAAUUUAUUAACUCAUAAAUCCUUUCCUAUUUUGAUACUUCCAAACUUUAUAUGAUUUGACUUUUAUAAUGUCUAGUUAUAAAUAUAUUUUUGCAUGAGUUUCACAAGAGAUACUAGUGUACACAUGGUAAGAAUUGAGUUUUCAACCACUAAGAAAAUGAAAAAAAAUAAUAAUGUUCAAAGCUCGCCUUGGGUUCAUAGCACCCACUAUAAUGCCCACAAUCUCCCAUGCACUAUGAAUCCCCCUAGCUGCUAUGCACCCAUGAUCCACCAUGAACUUUUGAGAAAAUAGAUUUUUACAUCCCUGGGCAUUUGUUGUUCCUAUUAUGCUAUAAAUUAAGAAUGCUAUAAAUUAAGUUAAUAUGACAAAAUAAAAUGGAACUAUCCCAUAGAAACAAAUGUUGAUAAGAGGAAAAGACAAGGAAAAGAUUAUUGUAACAAGAAAAUGUACCUUGGAAGAACCAGUUGGGGGAAUGGCAAGCAUGUUCCAAUCAAUAUCAUCAAUGUAUUUCUUUCGCUCUCUAUACACAGCUUUAGCGCUAUUAAACUUUGAUUGAUACUCAGAUAAUAGACCUUUUGCCUGGAAAAAAAAGGUCAUUUUGCAAAGAAAGUGUAUUCUACAGUUAUCUUAGGCAAACAAGAACUAUUAAUCUUGACAAAUAAAAAUCUGUAAGUGCACAAGUAUUUAGUUACAGUUUCAAUGGUUGACAAUAACGAACUGUGAGGAUAGAAUCAAAUUAGCUUGAAAAUAAAUGCUUCUGAGUUAUCGUGCCAAAUAAUUACCAAUGCACGGCUAACAGAGUUCUCAAAACUCUCAUAUUCCUUCCACAGCUGUUCAACAUGAUGAGUCGGAAUGACAAUUGCUUUUUGGUAUACUUUCCGCACAGACGUCAUGCGCUGCGAUUCUAUCUGAACUGUUGUAGCCUAAAGAGGAUUUCAGAAAUAUAAAAGAAUAGAAAUAUUAGACAGGCGAAAAAAAAAUAGAUGACACAAAGAAGAAUAGAGAUUUGGAAGGCACUUAACAGACCGGCAUCGAUUUCAAGAAAGUAAUGUAUUCCAUCCAAAUGGGUCCAGAUGCAAUGUCAGAGCCUGGAGGAUUUUUAUCAUUUGUAAGGCAUUAAAAUUCACUGAGAUAGUUCAAAAAGAUUGAACAGGAACUAAUAUUAUUCACCACCUAGUCUAAUUUAUCGCCUGGUCACAAUUCAGCAUAAGGUAGAAUGGUCAUAGUACAACCUUACAAAAGCAAAGCAACUAAACAUUGUAUUAAAUCAGUAAAGAAAUUCAAACAUCCAUAAGCCUCUGCCUACCAACGUAGCUCAGCAAAAAAUCAAAAGCCUUCUUGGUUUCUUCAAGACCAUCAGUUCCCUUCUUUUCAUUCACUUUUCUGAUGAAGCGAAUGUAACAGCGCCUACAAGUUGAAUUAUCGAACAAAAAGUUAAAAUCAAAUACUUCAUACUGCAAUCAACUAAGAGAAAUUAGGUACCUUCAUAGUUUAACAACAAAGUAUGUGCAAAAUUGCUAAACUAGAUUAAGUGAUGAGGAAAAUUUCACAUAAUAUGCAUGAAAUAGCCUUCUACCCAGAAAAGAAAGUAGACUCCAUAAGAAUCAACAAAUACGAUCAACAAGAUUCCCUCUAUAAGGAAUCCAGAUAAAAUGUCACGUAGCUCUUUCCAAUCAACAUCAACAAAACGAAAAUACACAGUGAUACAAGUAAAGAAAAAUUUUCUUGAUUUGCAGCGGGUGUCGAUGCGAUACUGUGCUGCGAAGGUUUUUAAUUUGCAGCAGGAAUAUCUACAUCGUGGAAGAGAGCUGUGAAUGUACUGAUUGUUUGCAAUUUGAACACAUUACCUACAAGUACUAAAAAAUGAUUGCUACAGAAAAUUGACUAGAUGAAAAGAAUUGCAUGUACCCAGAUAGGAGUCUUACCAAAGAGAAAUCUGAAGGCAAUUCAAUAAGCACCGGCUAAAUAUCUGCUUUGUGGCUUCGUCAUUGUUUACAGCCAUAUAUGCCUCCACAUACUGCUUCCAAUACUUGGCCUACAAAAUUCAGAUGCAAACCACAAGACGUCGUAUGAAAACUACCACAAACAUCGUUUCAAAACCUCAUUAUCCAAAUUGACAAAGUGGAAUGAUGUCAAAUACUUUAGAUAGGACGAUUAUAAUAUAAUUGCAAUUGAUUUAAUAAUUUUUUAUCAACUUUUUUAAAUUGUUAAUAGAUGAGGAGAAUGUCCAAGCGCAACUCCACUCACCGCGUGACUGUGAAUGAUUACUUAAGUUGGCCAAAAUUUUGAGCACAAUGGUGACCAAAAAUCUUUAGAAUAGGAUUCAUGAUAACCAAAGUCCACCAAAAAUCUACUCAUCCAGCUAAGCCCAACUUUUCGUGGCUGGAAAAGAUAGCAGGUCUUUCAUUGAAUCCAACCAGAUUUGAAAGUGAUUACAGUUUUACUUUUGUUUAACGGUUUUAAUCUUUGGAACAAUGCAAUUGCCCCGAAAAGCUUAGUUUCUUGUUAACAUAAAUAAGUUUUAUCUAUGACGAGCGGGGGCAUGUGCAGUUAUUCAUUUCAAGAUGCAAGAAUCAAACAAUGUCACCACAAAAAAAGUAACUUACAGCCGUCGGGAAGGUCGAAAGAAGCUUCUCAUAAAUCGGCGCCGCCUCAGAUAUCGGAAGAAGCUAAAAACAUAAACACAACUCAAUAAAUAGACAAAAAAUUAGAAAAUUUAGAAAAUUUUUUAAACGAAUAUACCAAAAUCCACUGAAAUGAAUAGGAAAUCACCAUAUGAUCAAAUUUAAAAAAAAAAAAAACAUUGAAAAAAUUUCUCACCAACGCUUCAUUUGCAAGAAUUUCAGCAGCUUCGACAUUAUAGAUAUCGGUAGUCCCGCCACUCCCACCCUUACAUUCAAAAUAAUAGCAUCAAAGUAUUGGAGAGAGAUAAACCCUAACCCUAGAAAUUAGAGGGCAAAAACAAAAGAGGGUUCCACGAUUACCUUUAACUCCUCGGCCAUUCGAUUGAUUCUUGAUGAAUCAACUCAAAAGCUUCGAUUUUCCUACCAAAUUUUUGGGAAAAAAGAGAUCGAAAAGCGCCAUGGAAGUAGGGGAAUGGUUAGAGAACCGAUUGAAGAAACGCUAGGAUUUUAAUUAGCCAUGGAUUGGAGAGAAUCCGCUGAUACGACGAGGGCUUUUUUUUUUUUAUAAUCAAUUUGUUUCUUUCCCUUCAGGAGAGAGUCGAAACUCCGGAAGAAAAAAAAUGCACUGAGAACCCUCCACUACAGAUAUUUCUGAAAGAACUACUCAACUCUGUUUUUUUUUNNNNNNUUUUUUUUUUUUUUUUUUAAAAAAAAAAACGCCGGAGAGAAAAAAUCAACUGAGAACCCGCAACUAUAGAGUUUUCUGUAAGCGCUCCUCAACUCUUUUUUUUUUUAAUUGAGAACCCUGUGUCCCUCUUCAAUAUCUAUUUUUUUAAUUUGAGCUUUUAUGCUUAAUUAAAUUAAAAAAUAUUAAAUUUUAUAAUUCUUUCGUUAUUAAUUGUUAGUUGAUCUAAUUUUAUUUAUUAAAAAUUAAUUGAAAUUAUUAUUGAUAAAUUUAAUUUUAAAAUCAUGGAUAAAUUUUGUUGAAAUUAUUAAUUCUUAAAAAUUAGAAGUAUUCAAUCAAAAAAAAUUUGAGGAGGCUAUUUCAAAAUGGUCGACAGUUGAGAGGUUGCGGAGAGUAGGGCCUUCAAAAUAAAAGCGUAAAGAAACUCAGUCCGAAGAGUUUUCAAAUUUUCUGAGCCUUGCAAAAAACAAUGAAAUCCGACAAUUUUAGACGACGCAUAGUUACCAAUACUUUACUAUUGCAUGUUGAGAAUCUAUUAAAAAGUUAUAUUCGCAUGUCCAAAGGGGUCGUUUAUUUUGACGGUUGGUAAUAUUUCAGAAAUACAGAUGAUUUGAUAUCUGGAAUGAAAAGAAUGUCAGGAUAUUAACCGAUUUGGAAGAAAAAAUUCUAAAAUGCAACGCUUAUAUUACUGAUAUGGUACCUCCAACAAAUCAAAAAGCGACGCUCGAAUUCACCCAUUCCAUCAUAGUAUUUAGAACAAUAUUUUUAUUGUAUUUUUCUCUCAAAAUGGGAGAUAUAAUUGACUGAGAAUAAAUGAUGUGGUGUAAGUAUUAUACAGUAAACUUCCUCUUUUGGGAGAGGGGCAGGGACUUUACCUUUUCUUAUUAAGAAAGCACUAAUUCACAUCCAAUAUGAGAAUAACAAGACCCCAUUAAAUUAUUCUCAAAAAAAAAAAAAAAAAAAAAAAAAAAACAAGACCCUUAAACCCAUAGACCUGUAAUGUGCCUACUAGUAAAAGAAUCUAAGAUUACAAAGUGUAGCAUGAGCCCAGGACUCCAAAAGGCUCACAAAAUUGUUCAGUACCAGCAGCAUCUGCGUAAUGAUAUUGUUUCUUUCAUGCCAUAUAUAGUCCACCAACAUCCUGCUAGUUGAGUUAAAGUUCGUAUACAGAGCUUGCCAUUCGGUCGUGCUUAGGAUUGUGAAAGUAUGCAUUUACUGUACUAGUGUGCUUACAGUUUAGAAAAGGUCAUCAAUGGCUUCAUGAUCUUCCUCACUACUUCUGAUCUUCUUCGGUAUUUCAUAUUAGAUAAAGAGAUAUCGAACAGCAUACCAGAAAGAAACUUAUAAAGGACUUGAGAUGAACAAAAAUGAAAUCAAACUAGGUUAGCAAGAACCCAGAAAGCAAAAUGGCUCAACAGAAUUCAAUUGAAACUUCGAUAUAGAACUGAUAAGAUAUGCAGCAAUUUUCAUUGGUAUCUACCAUUUACUUUGUUACUCCAAUAUUAGAUACACACAAACACAAUAAAAGAAACACCAAAAGUACUCAGACGACUGAUUAGAUAAGCUUAACUAUUUGCACUCCCUUAAAAAUCUCUUUACACUUCAAAUUUAAACCUUACCCCCAAUCUAAUCAGAAUUUAAUUCACAUUUAAAUAACUGCAAAUCAAACCAAAUUGAAAAAAAAAACAUACAUAAGCUACUCUUUCAGAACUGGUAGAUCUUUCAUAAGGAUUGUGCAUGUAAUUAAUUAGCCGCCUUAUGUGAUUAUGUCUGGUCCAAAUUCAGAACCCUCAUGUCAGCGAAAUCACCAGCUACUUUUACAUCAUUGUGUAGCGGCUGCUACUAUUUGUGGGGCUCUAUGCUGAUUUUUGGGAGUAACGGGCACCCGUCGAUAUCGAUAUACUCGAGAGCAGCGGGCAAUCUCUGCCUUUCUGACAACCCAACUUCUCGAAGCUCCGCUGAUCUCGAGGUCUCAGCAUGAUCAGUAGUUCUACCCUUCUCUUCUACGGCCAGACCUGCACGGUUAGAAGUUCUACCCUUUUCUUCUAUUGCCACCAAACAGCUUUCCAAACCAUCGAUCUUUUCGAGCUUCCCACAAUAACUGACACGAAGCUUCUUCAGCAUACCCAAGUCGUAGAGCGAGAGCGACGUAAUCUUCCUGCACUCUAAGAUGCUGAGUUCGUGGAGGCGGGGAAGAAUUUCUCUCUCUUUUCUACUGAAGCUCCAUUCCUCCCAUCGGUGCAUUCCCAUGAUAAGUAGACGUUGCAGAGACGGGAAGAUAACUCCCUUAUCGCCGAAAAACUCCUCCCCGAUUCGUGUGAUCUUGUUCAUUCCCAACAUCUCUAGCUCCCUAAGAGAAGGGAGUUGCCCGAGUGCCGGGAGGUACGCGCAAUUGUUGCAAUCCACUAACCUGACCUGAACCAAGUUUUCAAAUGAAAUAUCAACCAUCCAGCUAGGAAAUCGUGACCCCGCAUAUCUUUCAAUCUCGAGGGUUCUGAUGCUGAUAUGGGGGCGAAGGCUCUCGAGCACAUCCUCGUCAUCCUUAAAUUGCGACUCUUGUGAACUCCCCUCUUUGUUCUUGUCGAAAUCGUCGUAGUUCAAGUCCCAUCGGAAGAUCAAGUAUGUGAUGUGCUUCUUCUUAUUCAGCUCGGCUUUCUUGGCUUCGCCUAUCCGUUUGCCCCGAAUACACUGCAGGCCCGCGAUAACAAGUUCUCCUCGAAGAUCAUUCAAUUCCUUUAGUUCGUCGACCCCGGCCGACCCGCUCUCUCUGCUUGCCAAGAACAGCGGCAGUGUCUGAAGGGCAGACAACCGACCGAUGCCUGCCGGCAUUUUACUUAUGCUGAUCACCGGCCCAUCGAGCAUCUUGUAUAUAACGCCAUGCACUAGAUGGCGCAAGUUCGUUAACCGGCUUAUGUCGCUCGGAAGCUCAACUAGACGCUCGCAGUAUCGUAGGUCUAGUGUUUGCAAAUAACACAAAUUGCUUACCGAUCUCGGCAACCGCUUUAUAUCAGUGCAUGCGAGCCCAAGGUACCGCAAAUGCUUUAAGCCACCAAUCGAUUCGGGGAGUUCCGGUAUCUUGCAAAUACUUAAAUCUAGUACUCUCAAGUAUUGCAUAUGUGGUUUCUCAAACAGAUCUCUUUGGAAAUUUAGGACAAGUAGGAUUUCAUAAGCACCAAACUUCGGUACAUAACUAGUCCGAUUCCCCGACCAUAUCAAGAAUGACCUCAGGGCAUCGGGCUUGCAAUCUGGUUCUAAUGUCAAUUGGCUCAGCCUCGUUUCAACUCCGAUAGUAGCCGACAGAUGCCGAACGUAGCUGCUACUUGUAGUGCAGAAUCGGGUGCAGUUCGCGUCCGUUGAUGCUUCGAGUUCGGCAGUUACAGCUUCAGUUCCUAGGAUCGUUCUUGCGAGGUCGUGGAUGAGGUCGUGCACCGUGAAAUAGCACUCAUCUACGGCAAUAUGUUCUGCAUAUCGUUGAAACAGUGAUCUCUGCAUUAGGUCGAAGACAUAUUCGCGCCCCGUUUCUUCUAUUAGAGCUAAAUCGUCGACCUGGAUGAAACCUUGAGCUACCCACAUUCGGACGAGGCAAUCCAUCUCGAAUAGGUGGCCUUUGGGGAAGAGAGCACAGUAGGAGAAGCAUGGUUUGAGAGGAGCAGGGAGAUUUUUGUAGCUCAACCUGAGUUUUGUCAAGCAAAAACGAAUGUUGCUACAAAGUUAGUUCAACCAGAGCUGCAACAAUUUAACUACGAUCUCAAGUUUGACCCUCAAUUUUUGAUUCUUCUGAAAGUUUUAUCUCAGCUUCAGUUUCUCUUCAUAGUUGCAAUUAUAAUAUAAAGUGUAACAAUCCGAUUCCUAUGACACUAGUUUAACUUUUAAACAAGUAAAACAAGAAAAGGACUUACGAGAAUGUUGUAAGAUUAUAAUUUCUUAAAAUGACAGUAGAUGAACCUGAGAACACGGAGAACACUCUCCUCAGCCUCUUCGAAAUCCCACACGACGUUGUUCAGAACCUCAUCCCAGUAAUCCAAUCGGGUUUCUAAGUACAACAUCCCGGCGACCACCGCGACGACCAGCGGCACGCCCCUGCACUUGUCGACGAUGGCUCGGCCCGUCGCCGCCAGCUCGGGAGGCGGAUCACGGCCGCCGUCUCCGAACGCGCACCGGCAGAACAACUCCCAGCUGUGUCCCGUUGACAGCCCGCCGAGCUUGAUCAUAAGCUGCGCGCCGCCUGCAGCGACAGCGGCGACAGCUUCGUUCCGCGUGGUGAUCAGUACUGCACUGCCGUCUGCUCCCGCCGAUAACACCGAAUCGAGAAUUGCCGUCAGGCCAAUCCGCUCCGCAUCCCACACGUCGUCCAGCACGAGAAGAAACCUUUGUCGGGCGAUCAGCCGGUUCAGUGUAGUUAAAAGAUCAGACAUCUCCGUAAGAUCGCAUCGGCCGCCGCAGCUCGCGUUCUCGAUGAUUGCUUUCAACAGUGCUCUCUCGUCGCAAGACUGAGAGACCCAGACCCAGCACCUCAUUCCGAACUGCUUCUCCACUCUUCCGUCGUUGUAUACGAGCUUCGCGAGCGUGGUCUUACCCAUGCCGCCCAUGGCGACUAUAGAAACAACUUUUUUUUCGCCGCCGCCAUCGGCGAGCAUCGCGCUGAUAACUUUGCGCUUCUCUUCCUCUCGGCCGCAGAUUCGCGAGAGGUCCGCUGCCGCCGAGGUAGUCUGCCGCGGCAGGACGUGCGUCUCGGGUUUCGCGGGGCCGUCUUCCUCCCGUAACCGGAGGGCGGUGCGGUCUCUGUUGAUCCCGUCGAACCUUGCCAUCACCUCCUUUAUCCUCUUCAAGAUAUCUCGCGCGAACGACGCAUCGAGUACGGGAGGAGGAUGAGGAGGAAAAGAAAUUGCAUAAUCUUCUUGCUCUGUUCGUUCGUCUUGGCAGUGCUUGCGCUUGCGAGAGUUGCGGUCCGGCGGAGGGGAGCGGAGAAGGGCGUGGUCGAAGUCGGAGAGGAUGUCGUCGGCGUCGAAGGCGACCUGCCGGAGCUCGAGGAGCCAGAGCAUGACGGACUCUUCGCGGGUCUCCCGCUCCUCGGCGUCGGCCAGGAGGGCGCGGAUGCCGCGGAGGACUGCUCGGAGAUUUUGGAGCUCCGCGGCGACGGCUGCCGUCGCGGCGGCGGGAUUGCCGGCCCGGAAGGAGGAGGAGGAGGAGGCGGAGAGCAGUCUGGCCGUGAGGCUCGCGAGGGAGGUCAGCAGCGCGGCCGCCAUCGCCGGAGAUUUUCGGAUGAUGGCAGCAGUGUGGACUGCUGGAGGGGGNGAGGGGGGGGGGGAGGGGAAGGGGGAGGAGAUUUCCUGGGCAAGAGCUUUCUUGCGGGGGAGGAAGCUUCUUCGCAGAUCGAGAGUGGAAAGUGAGCGUUUCGGGCACUUUCAUGGCCACUGCUGUCACUGUUUAGUGGACCCGUUGCCAUACUUCAUUGAUUCCGAAAGAGAGAGAACGCCACUUUCGAAAAGAGAAAAAGCUUCUUUCUUUCCCAUGCUGCUUUACUGAUUCCGAUACACGCACACACAAAGAAUGGCCACCUAGAAAAGUAAUCGACAUUGUUUCAGCGGUUAAUUUGAUACAAAUUUUUACAAAUAUAAUAAAUUAUAAGAAUAAUUGCCUAUAUACCCUUCGUGCACCUGAAAAUAUCCAAUCUAUCCGUACUUUUUUUUUUCUUUCUAAAAUAUCCCUCAUAUGUUCCACCGUUAUUGCAAAAUACCCCCACAGUUAUCUUCUGUUAAAUUAACCUGAGUUAAACGUGAGUUAAAUAUCUAUCACAGUUAAAAAAAAUUAAAAUACCAAUUUUACCCUUAACUUAACGGCAAAUAAGAAAGGUUGGUUACGGUAGAGGGGUAUAUUGAAAAAGACAAAAAGUUGAAAUACUUUUUGUGCCCCUGACUUUAAGGGCAAAUAAAAAAGACAAUGAUGGUGGAAGGGUAUAUUUGAAAAGGACAAAAUAGUAUUUUUAUAGAGAUAACAAGUGUUACUUAACAGAUUUUAACUCUAAGGGUAUAUUAGAAAUAAAUUGGAACGUAGGAGGGGUAUUUUCAAUAUUAGCCUUCCAAGAGGAAUAAAUUGAAAAGUCGGAAACUUUUCAGGAGUAUAUAAGAAAUUGCCCCAUUAUUAUAAAUAUAUUCAUAUAAAAUUUAAUUUUUAUAUAUUAUUUUUAUAAAAGUCUUAAUAUUCUUAAACAUAUCUUUCUGAUUUGUUAUCGUUACUAUUUAUUUUAUAAAUGAAAUGACCUUUUAAGAUAAUAAAUAUGUUCUUUCAAAAAUCCCAACCAUUAAUUGAAGAAUAAAAAGGCCAAUUCACCUCAUUAACUAAUUAGGAUUAAAUAUUUUACUUACAAAUUCUAACGACAAGAAUAUAUUUGAAAAUAUUAGAACUUUUAUAGAGACAACAUAUGAAAAUUAAAUUUUAUAGAAAUAUAUUUAUAAUUUACUAUAUUUGUAGGGAAUUGUACGCAAUUAACUCUUGUUUGAGUGACCAGUAAUGCAUAGGCCUACGCCACCUAUAGGAGUAAUAAACUGUGUAAUAUAUGAAAAUUAUCUAAAAGCUAUUUAAUUUUUUUAUUUUUAAUUUUAUUAUCUUAUUUUUUAAUAUAUUUAAUAUAACUGAGUCAAUGCUGCUUUAUCUUUAAAAUCUAAAUGUAUUAUUUAUCUUAGAUUUAAUUAGUAUAUUUUGUAUAUUUCUCACAACUAUUAAUUCAUUAAAGAAAGUAAUAAGCUUAGAAAAUUUAUAGCCAAAGAGUAGUUGACAUUUUUAAGUUAAACAAAUGAAAGAUUAAACACUAAAAUUAAAUUUUUAAAAGAUUAGAUAGCCAAAUGUAAAUGACCUAUAAUUCAAAUAAGUUUUAAUUGAGAUCUCUUAGAUUUUAUUUUUAUUUUAACUACUGUUGUUAGUUUUGUUAUUUUUAUAAUAUCAAUAGAUAAGUCAAGCAACUAGCCAUCAAUCAUUUUAAUAUUAUUUACUAAAAUGAAUUAAAAUUAAUAAAUCUAAUAUAAUUUUUUAAUUUAUUUAACUAUGAUUAUUUGAUUUUUAAAAAAAUAAAGAGACAUAAAUUAGGCAAUAAAGUUGAGGACUGCAUUUAAAAAUAGCCCCUAGUUGUUUAGUUCUCCAUACAAUUUUUACUACAAUUCUUAUAUUUAACAAUAGUUUAAGUCAUUUUUUCAAAAAAUAAAUUUUAAAUUAAAUGUAGUUGGUUUGAUUGGAUGAAAUUACAAGCACUAGAAGCAUCCAAACCUGUAACAUCUUCUACAAGAAGCUUACGGUAGUCUUUUUGACUGAUUGUUCUAGAAUAAUUUGCCCAAAAAAUUACUCAGAGAAAUAAAAUUGCAUAUUUAUUCUUAUAAAAGUUUAGUUAUUAUGCAUAUCAUUCCAACAUAGCAUAGUUUAUAAAUAUAUUUCUCUUUGCCAGUUUCCUUCACUUUUUUAAAAACUGAACUCAAUUUAAAAUAUGAAGUAAUUAAAUUUCGAACUUGAAUUCUCAAGUAGCUUUUUUGAUCGGUUAAAUUUGAUCCUUUUUUUCUAUAAAAUGAUCAUUCUAACUUUAAAUAAAUAUCUCUAAUUUACAAGCAUAACUUCGUAAAUUAAAAUUUUGUACAGACCAUAUGAAAUUAUUCCAAAAAAUUAUUACCUGCACCGGGAGGAUCCCAAAACGAACGUAAAAUUUAUACUUGUAUAUAAAUAUACGAGUAGCAUUUUUCAAAAUUUCAAUCUGCGUAUCCUCUUAUCAUUCAUUUCAUCUUAUUGUUGAACUCAGAGGUGGCAACAGGUCAGAUACAAUCAGUUUCCAAUCAGGCUCACAUUAGAUAAUAACAUCUGCAUAAGUGAGCUACUUGACUCGAAAUUUACUCAGACCGAACAUUCAAAAUGUUUUGAUUCAAAAGUUAUUUAAAAUAUUGCGACUUUACUAUAUUAGUCAAUUUGUGAGAUUUAAUUAUAAUAAUUUUAAAUUUUAAUAAAAAUUAUAAUAAAUUAAAAUUUGAGGAUCAAAUGUCAGGGAGAUCCAUAUGUGUAAUUUACCCAAAAUAUUUGUACAAUGUGUCUAUACACCCGGUGCAAGCAAUAAAUAUCUUUACCCAUUCCUCUUCUUCUUCUGAACCAGUCGUCGUCCAUCCAACUACCCACUUCACCAACCCGUCGUCUCUUCGACUCCUCAAAAACCCCCUUUUCCACAACAACACACACUCUCUCUCUACGCGAUCGGAACCCUAACCCUAAUCUGCAUCUCCCCUUCUCCGAUCAUGGGGCUCUACGCGGCGCUCGCGGAGGCGAUCGACGCGUACACGGGCCUCUCCCCCGCCGCGUUCUCCACCAUCCUCGCCCUCAUGGUCGCCGCUUACUUCCUCGUUUCCUCCAUGUUCGUCCACCCCGACGCCCUCCCCGAGAAGCCCUCCUCCGCCUCCCACCCCGCCGCUCCGGCGACGGCGCCGCCGCCGCCGUACGUCCCGGCGGAGCCCGUCCAGGUCGGGGACAUCACGGCGGAGGAGCUCAGGGCUUAUGAUGGAUCCGAUCCCAAGAAGCCCCUGUUGAUGGCGAUCAAGGGCAACGUUUACGACGUGUCGCUGGGGAGGUGCGAUUUCUUUUGCUUUUGAUUUGAUUAAUGCGAUCGCUUUGCUCUAUUGAAGCUUUUAAGUAGGGAAUUUAGGUGUGUGUAAAACCAGUAUGUGAAUUUGUGAAUUGGUGAUGCUGGACUCGGUUAGAUAAAUGAAGAGAAAUAGUUUAAGGUAAUUGCAGUGCCAGCAUAGAAGAAUCAGAACUUAAUAAGUAUCAAUUUCACAAAAAUAUUAUGUAUGUAGUGUGAAAACUGAGAAUUAUGAAUAAUGAGAACAGUAGGUAUAAAGGAAAAGAAAUUGGUUUGUUUUUUAGAUAGUGAUAGUCCAAAAGAUAAUGACAAUAACAUAAGAGAAGAGGUAUUGGUGUAUGCCUUGCGAAUACCAAAUAGUGGUGGAUAGACCAUUGAAGAAAACCAGAUACUGUUGAAGUAAAUAUUUUGAGGAUUUGGGGAAUUGGUGGUUGAAAAUUUUGAGAUAUUUUGGUUUCACAGUUUUGAGAAAAACCUAGGGAAGUUCUUGAAAUAGAAGAGUAUGACCAAUAGAUAUAGUAAGGGGCAAAGCCGAUACACUUCAUCUCCAAUUGAGCUUUCGAAGAGGACAUGGAAGUCUAGGAAAGAAAAAGAGAUGCAGGUUUGAUGCUUAUCUUCAAUGUGAACCACCAAGUGGGAACUGAGGCUACAAAGAGUAACAAAGGAGUUGUUUAUAUUCAUGCUAGAGUUUUGAAGCUUGUAUUUUAUCCAGCAAACCUUUGGUAAAAGGGAGGAUGAAGAGGUGAAGUAUGAAAGCGUAACAACCACAUCCGUAAGUAAAUGUGUGUUUUGAUGAGAAGUCAAUGAAAAUUCAGUUGUUGAAGGCCUAUGACAUUUUUCUUUGCAUUGUUUUCUCGCCUUCUUUUUUUCUGAUUUCUCUUCUCCUGCUCAUCUCUUUCCACACUUUCAUCAUGCUAAGCCACGAUAUCCCUUUUAUCAUUGUUGGCUCAUGUUUAUGUCUCAUCAUUCUUAGGGAGUACAUUUGAAUGGUUUGCUACUUACAAGAACAAUGAAUAAUGAGAGUAGACAAUAUGUAUUUGUUGGUGAUGUGUUUUCAAAACAAUUACUAAUUCAUCACAAAGAGAUUUAUCGGGGUUGGAUAUUGCACCAGAAAAUCAAGCUAUAGUUGGCAGAGUUAUUACCUUCUCUGAUUGUAAAUGUAAACUCGAACUUCCUUUUUUUCACUACUUUUUACUUGUUCAUGAAACUUUAUCUACACCUUUAUGGUCCUUGACUUUUACUCAUCUCAUUGGAUGUGUUAGCCACCGUUGGCAUGCCAUUAUUUCCUGCAUCUUGAUUUACAUUAUGCUGUUUAUAUGGUGAUAUUGACCAUAAAAUAACUCCUUGCAGGUUGUUCUAUGGACCUGGUGGACCAUACGCCUUAUUUGCAGGAAAGGAAUGUAGCAGAGCCUUGGCUUUGUUGUCCUUCGAUCCGAGAGACAUUAAUGGAAACCUUGAAGGCUUAAACGAAGCUGAACUAGACGUUCUACAAGAUUGGGAGGAGAAAUUCAAGGAGAAGUAUGCUAAGGUGGGUCAGAUUGUUCAUGAACAUACGAAAGCUGGAUGUAAUGGAAGCAGCGAGCAAACGGAAAGUAAUGUAGACACUCAUCCAGAACCAAGUAAUACAAGUUAGAGAAGUUGACUAUAUUUGUAUCAGUUCAGAAUCUGAAGUGCAGUAUUUACUCCCUUGAUCCUGGGCAAACGAUACUAUGAUAGUGGUUGCGCAUGUUCACCGAGUUAUGUAAUUUUCCCUGAUAGUGCUCUUUUACUUGAAUCACAACCCUUUCUGUAGCAUUUUUUGGGCUAUAAAUUCUGUGAGCUAGCUCUAUAUAUUCUUCUUAAAUUACGUGCUAUUGUUCAUUUUACCCUGUAAUUCUUGACGAUAUAAUCGUAUCUGGUUGUGGUAUGUUAUGAUUGUCUGAAUUGGCAAAGUUCUACUUAGUGCUUUGCCUUGUUUGAAUUAUGACAAAUUAGGCUGCAUUGAUCAUUUUAGUAGUUAGUAACCUAGUACUCCAACCAUUCAAUUGCAUAGCAGGAUCAUAAGUUACAUGAUCCUUGGUUGAAGUUUGUAUGCAAGAAUACGUAGUGAUAUAUUGAUCGAGUCAUUAUGACGCACCACUAGGAGUUUGCACUUUAUAAACUAAAAUUUGGAAUAGAAGAUUGAUUCGGUUUUCAGUUUUGAACUAGAAACCAGAAACCAAGCAGAAGUUAAAAUAAGCCCCCAAUGCAUCACAACCACUCUUUGGCUUGAACAAAAGCCAGGGAUGAAUACUUUGUUUAAUACCCCUUUUUUUUUUUUAUCAAGUUUACUACAUAAAGAGAACAAUAAUCGCAUAGUAUAUGUGCCCUCGAAAUCAUUUUUCUUAGGAUCCAACAAAUCCAUAGGAAAUAGUUUCCGCUUAUUGGUGGCUUUUCAUUGCUCACGACUGUUACCAAGUUUAAUUAACUUUCAUCUUGCACAAGCUGUUAAUUGAGCUCUUGCAGGAAACAACAUAGGAAGAAUACAGAACUUAUUAGGCUAAAAGGUGAUCUUCCCAAUAAUACAAGUUUAAUGCAUCGCAGCAAUGAAUACUGGUGUAGGUAUAUCACUAAUUGUGCAUAUACACACAGGCCGGGACAGAAAACUAGAGCAAUUUGUCAAAAAAAGAAAAGAAAACAAGAGAACUGGAGCAAAGAAUAGGAAGAAGAAAACACAAAUUUCUGAGUACACUCAAGAUUCAUGAAGACUCUGCACGAUCAGUUUCAAUCACUGUAAAGUAAGUUAUCGAUGCCUUUGCUACUUUUCUUCUGUACUCAACCUUUUCGAUGGGCUGCGGUGCCGCCUUAAAAUUAUUUCUAUACACACAAUUUUUAUGCCUUAGCCAUCUUUCUUCUGUACCUUAACCUUUUCAAUGGACUCCAUUGCUUCCUCAAAUGAUUUCUGCACAACAAGAGAAAGCAUUUCGUCAUCACUUUGUUACGCUACGGGCUUACAAUGGCACAAAAAGAAGGGGGGAAAAAAGAGGGAGAAGAAGAGGGGGGUUUGAUCACAGGCAGAAGGCACGCCAAAAAAAUGCAGCAUAAUUCUUUCAGGCUGGCACAACCAAGACUGCCGCUUGUUCCUGAAGGUCUUUUCAGAAACAAAUAUCUUAAAUCUAGCCGAAGCUCAGCAACUAGUUGAGUUAGACAAGAGGACUCAGAAAACUGAACCAUUUCUAUUAAGUUCCUGGAGAAAAUAUCACAGGGAAAAGUGACAAUAUCAUCAUUGGCUCCAUUAUCAAAGAGGUCUGUAAAAAAUAAUGGGGUUUUCCUGCUACAGCACAGCUCACUCACGAAGGCUCAAAAAAAGAAUCACUAAUAGCUGACGGCUUGUCACACUAGUCUGGACAUAACAAAUUUUCUGUGAAAUAAUGGUAGACGGUCGAUAUAAUUGGUUGCCUUCUUUGUUGUAACUAGCCCCAUUUAGCGAUCUAAUCUAGAGAACAUGCCUUAAAAUUCCUAGCGAAAUGCCUCAGUAAAAUAGGUUCGAGGUGAUAUUUUAAUGGUUAGUAGCACUUGGGUUAUGCUGAGCUAUACUGGCUAGUCCCUGCCUAUUGGAACAACUGGCAGCAAUUCGUGGUCAGGGAGGAUAUUUUAUGCCAAAGAAUUACUUGAUAGGAAUAUUAUAAAUACAAGAAAGAAAUAUCUACUUUAUCAAAUUAGAUCUCCAAAACUUCACCAAAAUGAAUUUUAUUUUGCAUUCUCAAGGCCUAGACUCUAUAAGGCAUGACUUAGGAUCACAGCGGAAAAAAAUGAAAGAACUUAAAUAAAGAACUCAGUACUAAAGGGAGAUCCAAUGCGUACCCCAGAAUUGUUCAUUCGCCACAUUGCUUGAAGACAUUCUUCAAUAAUGACAGCUCCACCUAACAAAGCACUGUGGAAAGAUUUAUCAGCAAAAGGCUUUCAUGCUAUAUCAUUUGCUAGAUUUCUAUAAUAUCAUCAUUACAAAAUAUUCCUAGUAAGAAAUAUCAAUCUGAGAUACACAAAGGAAGAACCAGUUUUCAGUAGAAUUAACAGUAAAAAGAAAUGCAUGUCAGCCAACAACAUUCCUUCAUAGGAACUCUAUAUCUUCAUCCAAUAACAGUACCCUUCACUACAAGCAAAAUAACUAAGCACAAUCUUAAACCGGGUUGAUGAUAAAGACGAUGAUGCGGAAGAAAGACUCCUAUAUGGUGUCAAUGCCAAAUCCAAAAUCCACCACAAAUUAGGGAACCUCCAACAUAACCACAUGUCAAAUAUCAAGAGGAACACAACAACAGUUCCCUCGAAAGCAGCAGCACAUGUUCCAACAUACCUCAUUUUCAAGAAGAAGAACAACCUCGCAACAAAUAGAUGGCUCACUAACACUCCAUAUAAAGAAGUCAGGAAAUGUCAUGUGGUCUUUAAUCGAGCCCGAUAAAAUAUGAAAAGAAUUUAGAUUUUCAACCCAAAUCGCCCAGAUUCGAGCAAAGUCGCCGAACUGAGGCAGUUUCGGUCGAAUCACCAGCAUGCACUUGGUAAGACAAAUACAUUCUCAUCCUGUCAAAGUUGUUGACGCAAAAUUGGAACUCAAAACUACUACAACUCUCGAUAAAAGCUACACGAUUCAGAGCUCUAUGUCAAACAGAUAUAUGCAAAUUAAGCUACUUCUUCUUGGGUUAGAAUCGUGGGGGCACCAUUUUUUCCCAGUUCAACCACACAACAUAAUAAGAAGUAAAAUGAUGGGAUUUUUGGACCGAAUUACGCACCAAACUACGAAAAUAGAACAAAUAUAACUAAAAUUACCCUACAUCAACAUCAACUAUUCCAAAGGCAUUUGAAUUUAAAGGUGAAUUACCUCGCGAAACCAACAUUGAUGAGGAACCCCCGCCUCGUGAGCACCCGAAACACGAACUCCAUAUCAAACCCUAAUCCACCGCUGCCGCUCCCCGGGGGUCGACGGUAUCCCCCGCCACCUCCUCCAUAACCAUAACCAUAACCAUACUGAUUGCCCCCAUAAUAGUGGGACGACGAAGAAGACGACGACGAGGACGAAUACCCACCGUAGCCUCGCCGAUCGAAGGAUCCGGCGCCGCGCCACGCGCGAUCGUAGUCGGCGCGCAUCCGCUCAUCGAUCAGCACCUCGUACGCCUCCGAGGCUUGCUUGAAUCGGACGGAGGCGGCGUCUUUGACCUCCUCGGAGGCGUUGGAGUGGCGAUCGGGGUGGAAUCUGAGGGCCGAUCGGCGGAACGCCUCCUUGAUCUCCUCCUUGCUUGCGUCCCUCCGCAAUCCUAGGGUUUUGUAGUAGUCCAUCGUCGGCGACACCCAUGUGACGACGACGACGACGACUAGGGUUUUAAGUAUCAGCAGAGGAGGAGGAGGUAGGGUUUGGGGGUCGAGUAGGGUUUCGAGGGUGGAGGAGGAGCCAUUGAAAGGGAGAGGACGAGAGAAGGGCUUCGUUCAUUCUUUUCUCUCUCUCUCUCUCUCUCUCUCUCUCUCUCGGCUCUAUGGUUUGUGAGUUUGACGCGUGGUCGAUUCGCUCUCGCGGGUUUGAGAGGAGGGGUUAAGAAAAUAUAAAUAAAUAAAAUAAAUAAAUAACGGUAAAAACACACCAAACUUACGUACUAGUACUUCAUUUUGAAUAAAAUGGACUAUUUUUAAUUUUUAAAUUUUUUUAAUUUUUUAAUAAAAAUAAAUUAAUAAUAUUUUUAAAAUUUAAAAUUUAAAUUAAAAUUAAUAUAAUAUAUAUGAAUUAAAUUUAUAAAAAUAAAUGACGCAUUUAAUUUUUCAAAUCAAGAUGUGGCUGGCUUACUCAAACGGUGAUUAAAAAGAUUGGCUUAUGAGAUUAAAAUUUUGAAAAAUUGAAUAGGCGAUUUAAAAUGAUUAAUAGCUUAAACAAAUUUCAUACGUUUUUAUCAUAAUUAAAUAAAUAACUAAAUUGGUGGCAACCCCUGUUUAUCACUCAGCUAGCUUUAAAAUUUAUACUGUUUGCAUGAGAAAUGGUCGAUAGAGUAGUUUCAUUUUGUAAAUUUUAUUGGACUGUUAAAUUUAUUAUAAUUUCAACUUAAAGUUUUUUUAUUUGUUACAAUUACGUUCAGCAAUCUAUUUUAGUUGACUGAAUCCAAAUGUGUAGCUAAUAUAGUAAUAACAUAAUAUUUUAAUUAUUGUCAUGUCACUUACCAUCGAUAUUACUAUAUUAAUUGUAUAUUAUUAUUUAGUCAAUUUUAUCGGACUGCAAUAAAUAUUGAAUGAAAAAUAACAACAAAUUAAAAUUUAAUCAUCACAAUAUUAAGAGUCACAAAAUUUGAGCACCAUAAGUGGUGCACUGAGAAGGCACCAUAUGGUUAGUUAAGAUGUAGCUAAUGUGGUAGUAAUAUAAUGUUUUAGAUAUUAUCGUGUCACUAAUCACGAUAUUGCUACAACAGUAAUACAUUAUUAUUUUGUCAAUUUUAUUGGACUGUUAAACUUUAUUGUAGCAAUUCAAAUGUUGAGCGACAAAUAAUAAGCAAAUUAAAGUUUAAAGAUCAAAAUAUAAGGAGUCUCAAAAUUUGAACAGGGAAAGUGGUGCACCAAGAAUGGCACUACAUGGUUAGUUGACAUGCAAGUCGGAGCGAUUUUUGGUCUGAAUGCAUGAAUUAAGUUAAGCCAAUUUGCAUGAAAAAAUUCAUCGAUUUUGAGAUUUUACAAAAAUAGUCCGUCUUUUUGAAUUUUGCAAAUUCGAUUCGAAUUUUUAACUCAAAAGAAAGCCUAGUUUUGCAAAUCUCAAAACCAAUAGAUUUUUUAUGCAAAUUGGCCACUAAGUUGUGAAUACCAAUUAUUCAUCAAAAUUUUAAAAAAAAAGCCCAAUUUAAGUUCUAAAUGGAUCGAGUUAUUCUGGGCUUGGGUUCGUACAAACCCAAUACAACAAAUUUGUUAGUGGGCCAAAUUACGGUUGGGUUGAGAAUUGAGUCUAAACUUGUAAUUAAGAUUUGAUCCUGUGAGGAUUUUUUUUAAAAAAAAAUAGAAAGAACAUUUUGCAUAAAAAAUUCACUGAUUUUAUACUUUUACAAAAAUAGGUCACUUUUUGAAUUUUACAAAUUAAGUCUGAAUUUUUAGUAAACUAAACAGUUUUUUUUCUUCUUUCUUCGGUUUUUUUCACCGUCUCCAUCCUUUUCCCAUGUCACGGCCCCUCACUCACCCUCUGCUGCAACAACUGCAUUCCGAUGCACUCUCUCUUCCCAUAGUUCUCAAAUCCCGCGGUACCUCAGUCAUCGCCGUCGUCUAUGACCACACCAUUCACCAUAGCCUCAUCUCCGCGAUCAGUGCCAUAUCCGAGCCUGCAUCGCCAUUGCUGACGUCGGCGGAUGAGGGAGAAAAUUAGACCCAAACCAACCUCAUUGCCGGCUCCUCUACUCUCUUUUUUUCCGAUGUACAGAUAAUAUUUUUCUUAGUUAAAUAGUAUAAAACAUAGCUUAAAGAACUAACAUUAUAUAAGAAAAAGUAUAGAAUGCACCGGUUAUAUCGCUGACCAAUAGAAUUGCUCGUCCUGAAUUUUUUCUUAAGAAAAGAGAUAUGAUUAAUUUAUUACUGAUUAUAUGAUGCAAUUGUGGCGAUAUAAAUUUUCUCUGCUAUAUAAUGCAUUGUUAUUUACAGAUGCAAACAAAGCGGUUUCCAAUGGCACUUUAUCAUUUGUUUGUUUUUUAAUUCCAAAAUCAGCCUAAAAUGACUCACGAUUAGACCCAAAUCCAGCUGGGUACCUUCACCUCUGUUUUUUUUUUUUUUUUUUUGUGAUCUUUUUGAAUCAGUGAUUAUCUUUUCUUUGCAAAACGCCAAUGCUACUGCCACUGCCAUAGCCCCGGCAACCAAAAAGAGAAACACCGAGAAUCUAAAACAAAAGAUAGAAACCGGCCCCCAAAAAGAAGACAAAAACUCCAGGUCUAAUCACACCAUCCACGGCCUCAGCCUAAUCCCGGAGAGGACACGUGGCGCUUUACAUGCCCAUCACGUCUCCCGCAAAUAAGCCGAACGAAAAUAAAAAGAUAAACUUCAAAUAUCAUCAUAUUCGCAUAUCAUUUUAUCAUUCUGCAUUUUUGUUAAAUAAUAUACAAAAAAUAUUACAGACACACCACUUACAGUUUAUUGGAUAUUCAUUUUAGUAGUCUAUAAUUUAUCAAAAAUUUAUUUUAAUAUUCUUUAGUUUUAAAAAUGAAAAAAUUAAUAGAGGAGAUAAUAGAAAGAGGGAAACGAAAUUAAAGGAUACAAAAGUGAUACAUUUUAAAAAAUAAAAAGAGCAUUUACUUAUAUACCACUUUAUUAUUUACCACUCUUAAAAGUAUAAUAUUAAAAUACUCUUUUAAAGUUCCAAAGUCUUCCAAAUAUACUCCUAUAGUUGAAUUCUGUUAAUGAACUGUUACGAACAAUCGUUAUUUCUAUAGAAUGAUCAUUUUAUCAUUUCAAAUAUACCAUUAGUCAUCUAUUGUCGUUAAUUUUUCUUAUUUGUUCUUAAAUUAGAGAUAAAAUAGAUAUUUUUCACUACUUUUAACUAUCGGAAAAAUUUAACUUAGUUUUAACCCAAAAUGAAUUAACGGGCACUAAUAGCAAGGAUAUUUUUGAAUAACGAAGAAAUAUAUGAUGUGUAUAUUUGAAACAAAAAAUAAAUAAAUCAAAUAUUUCAGAAAUUUUUAGGAACAUAUAGGCAAUUAUUUUAAAAAUGAAAAAAACAUAAAUUGCCACUACUAGUGCCUGAAAUUCCAAUUCAGGUUUAUAUAUAUAUAUAUAUAUAUAUAUGUAUAUAUAUAUAUAUAUAUAUAUAUAUAUAUAUAUAUNAAAAAUUUUAUUACAUAAUUGACUUAAUAAAAUUUUAAAUGCAAAAUUUAUUCCUUACCGUCCACGUGGAUGCUACAUAGUACAAGAGAGGAUCAGCUAAAUAAUUUACAAAAAUACAGUAAACUAUUUAUCAUCUUUAGUUAAUACAUUGAACACAAUAAAUUAUUCAUUGUGAUUUAUCAUGCUCACGCGAUAAUAUUCAAGUACAAUUCUUCAUCUUCGCAAAGUUUUGAAAAAAUACGACAAAUUGUUUAUCAUGCUUACCCAAAAUACUUUUCUAAUCAUCUUUUAGCGCGGGUCAACGUGGCAUUAUUUUCGUAAUUUAAAUUUGAUUAGGAUUUUAUUUUAAACAAGUACUUUUGAGAGAGCCAAAUGAAAAAGAAUCUCUCCAGUGUAGUAUAAUUUGAGUCUUCUAACUUAUGAUUUUUUUUACAAUUGAUGCCCUAAAUUUUGAAUAAGGCUUUAUUUAAUUUUUUUUAAUUUUUUGAACAACUUUUUAUUUUUCUCUUUGAUUAUUCUGUCUUACAUUAGGGGUGUCAACGAGCCGAACACGAGCGAGCUGGGGCGGCUCGUGUUCGGCUCGUUAAAGUAUCGAGUCGAAAAAUUUAGCUCAUGUUCGGCUCGUUAAUAAACGAGCCAAACACGAGCUGGCUCACGAGCUAAUCAACGAACAAUAAGUUAAGAGAAUUAGAUUGAAUAUAUAUAAAAAAUAAAAUUUAUAAAAUCGUAUCCAUUAGAUUUUGAUCAAGUGGUUGAAACUUAUAUAUAAAUAAGUUUUUUUAUAAUUGAGUUUGAUUUUAUAUUUUUAUUUUGCUAAAAAUAAAAUAAUAAAAAUAUAUAUUACAUAUAUAAUUAUUUAUUUAUAUAUAUAUAUAUAAAUUAAAUAAAUUAUGUAAAUAUAAAAUAUAUGUAUUCGAACUGUUAUCGAGCCAAAUACGAGCGAGCUGACUCUAACUCGUGUUCGCCUCGUUUGUUAAAUAAGCUGAAAAAUUCAACUCGUAUUAUUUGGCUCGUUUACUAAACGCGCUACAACAAAAAAGGAGAAUCAACAACAUUUACUUAACAACAUUUAUCCAAAUAACGCUAAUUAUCUUAUUUAGCAACAUAGUUGGAAAAGUGUUGGUAAAAUGCAUCUAUUUAGCAACACUUCAAACUACUGUUGCUGAAGAAAAGUUUUAGUAGCAUUUAUUUUUAUAUCCUACAACACUUGCUUGCAUUGUGAAGUUAAAACUAUUAAAGCAUUAUCAAUAUUUUGUUUGAAAAUUAAUUCCCUCCAUAUAUAUAUUUGUAUAGCUUCCUCCAAUAUUUGUAAACUAGGUUUUUAGUUUUUUAUAAAGUAGAAAAAAAGAGUUAAAAUAUUAUCCAACUACAUAAGGAGACAGCACAAUCCUUAGCCAAAUUCCGCCUUGCCAACCGUGCCCGGUGUCCUUGUCCUCACCGACUGACAAACACUUUUUUUUUUUUUUCUUUUUCGAGAGAUACAUAAUUCAUCAAGUUGUCAAUUAAGAAUAAACUUAACUGGAAAAUGUGAAUCAAUUAGGAUUCGAACUUAGGUCUCGGAUAUCAACCACCAAGCCCACUUGCUCUAGAGACGGUUGGUCAUCGACUAACAAAUGCCA